CACAAAAAGCCUGUUUUUUUCUUAUAAAAAGAAUACUUUAUUCUUCUAUCAAAAACCUCAUUUAAGAACAAAAGUCUCUUGCCGACCGUUCCUAAAGCAAGUGGCAAAGGACUUGGUGGUUGGUACCCGAGGCUCCAAGUUUGAAUCAUAGUUGAUUCAUAUUUCCAGCUAAGUUUAUUUCUAAAUGAAAUAAACGAAGCAGGUAGCGUGCUACCUAUCUCUCUCAAAAAAAAAAAACGCCCUUUUUAAAAAAUUCUUAGAAACCAAAAGUAUAAUAUAAUCAUAAU
rnacentral:lncRNA from 1 species